rnacentral:rRNA from 1 species
AGAGUUUGAUCCUGGCUCAGCCUGAACGCUGGCGGCGUGGCUAAGACAUGCAAGUCGCACGGAACCCGCAAGGGUUCAGUGGCGAACGGGUGAGUAAUGAAUCGCUAACGUACCCCGGACUCUGGGAUAGCUGCCCGAAAGGGCAGGUAAUACCAGAUGAUAUAACUCCUUCGCAUGAAGGGGUUCUCAAAGGUCCGCCGGUCUGGGAGCGGGCGAUUUCGUAUCAGCUAGUUGGUGAGGUAGCGGCUCACCAAGGCGACGACGCGUAGCCGGACUGAGAGGUUGGCCGGCCACAUUGGGACUGAGACACUGCCCAGACUCCUACGGGGGGCUGCAGUAACGAAUCUUCCGCAAUGCACGAAAGUGUGACGGAGCGACGCCGCGUGUAGGACGAAGCCCUUCGGGGUGUAAACUACUGUCAGGGGUUAGAAAGUUCUGAUCAACCCCAGAGGAAGGCACGGCUAACUCUGUGCCAGCAGCCGCGGUAAGACAGAGGUGCCAAGCGUUAGGCGGAAUCACUGGGCUUAAAGCGUGUGUAGGCGGAUCGUUAAGUACCUUGUGAAAUCCCACGGCUUAACCGUGGAACUGCUGGGUAUACUGGCGAUCUUGAGCCACCUAGGGGCGAGCGGAACAAAUGGUGGAGCGGUGAAAUGCGUAGAUAUCAUUUGGAACGCCAACGGUGAAAACAGCUCGCUGGGGGUGUGCUGACGCUGAGACACGAAAGCCAGGGGAGCGAACGGGAUUAGAUACCCCGGUAGUCCUGGCCGUAAACGAUGUCGACUAGAUCGCAGUCCCUCUGACGGGAUUGCGGUCGAAGCAAAAGUGCUAAGU